CCCGCACAAGCGGUGGAGUAUGUGGUUUAAUUCGACGCAACGCGCAGAACCUUACCUAGACUUGACAUCCCGGGGAUUUUCUGGAAACAGAGAAGUGCUUUAGCAAUAAAGAACCCGGUGACAGGUGCUGCAUGGCUGUCGUCAGCUCGUGUCGUGAGAUGUUGGGUUAAGUCCCGCAACGAGCGCAACCCUCGCCUUUAGUUGCCAGCAUUCAGUUGGGCACUCUAGAGGGACUGCCGGUGUCAAACCGGAGGAAGGUGGGAUGACGUCAAGUCCUCAUGGCCUUUAUGUCUAGGGCUACACACGUACUACAAUGGCCGGUACAAAGGGCAGCCACUCAGCGAUGAGGCGCUAAUCCCAUAAAGCCGGUCUCAGUCCGGAUCGCAGUCUGCAACUCGACUGCGUGAAGUUGGAAUCGCUAGUAAUCGUAGAUCAGCAUGCUACGGUGAAUACGUUCCCGGGCCUU
rnacentral:rRNA from 1 species